GCUCUAUUAGCUCAAUUGGUUAUGGCGCAGCGCUGUAAGCAAAAGGACGCAGGUUCGAACCCCUGAUAGAGCG